UACAGAGGUCCCGAGCGUUGUUCGGAUUCACUGGGCGUAAAGGGUGCGUAGGUGGCAUAGAAAGUUUGAUGUGAAAGCUCAGGGCUUAACCCUGAAAUGGCAUUGAAUACUGCUGUGCUGGAGGUUUGGAGGGGGGACUGGAAUUCUUGGUGUAGCAGUGAAAUGCGUAGAUAUCAAGGGGAACACCAGUGGCGAAGGCGAGUCCCUGGACAACACCUGACACUGAGGCACGAAAGCCGGGGGAGCAAACAGG
rnacentral:rRNA from 1 species